GCGGGUAUCGUAUAACGGCUAUUACACGAGUUUUCCAAACUCGAUACGCGGGUUCGACUCCCGCUACCCGCUCCA
rnacentral:tRNA from 1 species